AUGUAUAAUUCUGGAGUUAUUUGUAUAAAACAAAAAUGUGCAUAAAUAAAUUGUUAUGUUUAUCUUCAGGCUGCCAUAGUGGAUGUUAUUUUCUGAUUUUCUUUUCUUCUCUAUACCUUCCAUUCUUAUUGCCUUACAGAUGCUUGAUGAGAAGAGACUCCUCAUAAAGGGAAAGAAAAUCUUGGAGCUGGAGGAGAAUGAGAAACAAAACAGUGGUCACUGAAAACUGCAUCUUUCUUGAUUUUGUGGAGCAUUGCAUUGGGAUUGGAGAUGUUUCCAGUUUGGAGAUUCUCUCUAUGAGGGAUGUUCCUCUCUAUUCUCCUUUUAUUGUCCACACUCCAAGCCUCCAUUUCCCACCAGGGACUUGCUCUACCCUCCUGAACAUCUGUGAAAAAUUCAUAGCAAGGGCACUGAAGUGGAAAAUCCCAAGACUGUGCUUCAGUGGAUUCUAUGGCUCUCAGACUAGGUUUCCCUAGCAAUUUGGUAAAGAUAAAGGAAUUGGAAAGGUGCACGGAGGUCUGAUGGAUAGAGGCAGUCUGUAGAUGCACAGCUUUACUGACAGAAGGGACUGAAUACUUCAGGAUGGGGGCAUUACUUCGGGAUUCAGAAUGAGGUCUGAGGUGUGUAUUGAAUCUUCUCCAUUUUCUGUCCUUCCCCCAGUAUGCUCAAGUGGUAGUAGAAAUCUCAAAGGUGCAAAUCUAGUGGUAUAUUUGGUCUAAGGAAACAUUAUUCUGCUUUUGAUUUUAGGAA
rnacentral:lncRNA from 1 species